UAGGGAAUCUUCCACAAUGGACGCAAGUCUGAUGGAGCAACGCCGCGUGAGUGAAGGAGGUCUUCGGAUCGUAAAACUCCGUUGUUAGAGAAGAACACGAGUGAGAGUAACUGUUCAUUCGAUGACGGUAUCUAACCAGCAAGUCACGGCUAACUACGUGCCAG
rnacentral:rRNA from 1 species